UGCUAGAGCCACCAGCUCCCCAGAGACAAACCUGCUGGGUACCACAGUGGGAACUAGAAGGGGCCAGAGACACCAGGUGUUUGCCUGUAUAAGAUCAGACAGACAUAGUCCCAUGGUGGAAGCUUAGAUAACAGUGCUUUGCCUUCGUCUGGAUGUUGUGGUGGCAGACCCAUCCCCCCACCCGCCCGGAUACUGAGAAUCCUCUAGAAAUCAUCAGGCAAUGCAGAAUCACUCGCUGACCCCCCUCCCAAAAGGGGGCAUGUAAGAACGGGCUGCCACCGGGAGAGAGUAUGAACCUGGCCACAUGGGCUUGCUGGACACUGAACACUGUAGGGGGUAAUCCCCAGAGCAAAGAAAACAGCAGCAAGGGUGUUAGGGAGAAUGAAGCCUGCGGAAAACUGAAGAUCACAGAUUCUCUCCCACCCCACCUCCUUCUCCACACUGCAUACUGGUGUUCACCUGUCAGGAGAGCCCUCUGAAGGCAAGUAAUGAGUCAGAGAUUCACGUGGGAUUUAAGCCUAGAAACGUCAAAGGAAGAACACACACACACACACACACACACACACACACACACACACACACACACACACACACACACCCUGAUUAAAAAUAAUCAACCACAGAGAAGGAAUCACCUACAGAAGACAUGUUCAAGAUACUGUGUUGCUAACAAAUUUCACGCAACACUCUUUCUGGAAAAUAAUCCCAAAGACAAAAACAUAAGAAGUGAAGGUUCUCAGAGGGCAGAGGAAGGUGGAGAGAAAGCUAGGAUGAAAACAGAAAAGCCAUGCAUGUACGGCUGGAAUGUACUGAGUUCAGCCGAACACAGGAUACAAAUAACACCAGCUCAGCACAGGGCCAGCAGACCAGGAAACCACACAGCAGGAAACAGUCCCAAGAGUCUCAGAGGAGCCUGGAGAAAAAGGCCCUCAGCAUUUCUGAGGCGCACACAUGUGGGAGGGGAACUAAAGGAAUGCUGUAAGCGCAUAGUAAAAAAUGCCUCAUAAGAACAGACCUCAUAAGAACAGCUUGGUCAGGGACCCCUCUAUAGCCAAGGUUGAUAACCUGAACCCAGAGACAUCCCUCACUCAGACACCAUCGCCCACCCGUGGGACAGUGCAUAAAUAGAGACUUAGAGCACAUCUGGAAAGACGCCACCCAGAUGAGUCCUGUGGAUGGAGAGUCUCCCCCAGGAUCCCGACCCUCAAGUCAGAGACUUCUGUUAGAGACUACCCUGACCUCCAGCUAAGAUGUGCCACACAGGCGAGCAGCUCGGAAGACAGGCUUAGGACUGUAUGUAGGUAGGAACUCGGUAGAGUGUGAACCUGGUGACGGCCCUCAGCAUAAGAGAAAACUUUUGUUAUACUAGUGAUGCGUAUUCUGCCUCCUUGCUCACUACGAGUGCAAUAAAGAAUAAACAUAAGAGAGCCUUCUUGAAAUAAAGAUGAUUUGAAUCUGCUAAUCAAAAAAAUCAUAUUUAUUCUAAGAAAAUCCGCAUAGGUAAUUCCACACAUAUAUAUUCCUACUGAAGUGACGCAAUGCCAAAGAUAAGGAAAAUGGCUCACAUCAUAGUAAGCCUGGCCACUCAGAGCAGAUCCAGAAUGGAGCUGGUCUACAGUCUACAAAAGCCCAGUUCCAGUGAUCAAUCACUUCCAUCAACGAAGCCCAACCACCUACAGCCAGGAGGUCAGUGCUCCAAACACCAGCCCAGAGAGCAUUUCAUAUCAAGUCAUAGUAGCUUGAAACAACGUAAGCGUCCUGUGUCAGUCAUGGACCUAGAAGUAUGUCAGGGUGUUGGCAAGGCUGUGUCCCCUGAGGAGGCUCUGAGAAGGCCCUUAGGCCGCUUCCGACUCUUGUGGGCUCAGGUGCUCUGGCUGCAGCUUUCAGACUGCACCCUCUCCUGCUCUUUAUAUGCCCGUGUCUAAAUGUCUCCUUUUUAUUAUAUUAUUUACAAUAGGGGAUCUCGAAUUACCCCGUUUUAACUGGAUUACCUCUUUCAAGAUCUUAUUUCCAAAUAAGACCUAUUUUGAGAACAACACACCCUUUCCCUCUGCUCUGCAGAAAAAGACAAUUCAAUCCAUAAUUCUGAGAUAACAAAUAAACCGAGCCCAGAACACAGCAAGAAGCACAGUUAGAAAAACAACGGCAACGACGACAGACUGAGGAGGUACAUCAAGGGAGCCAGUCCUGGAGUUGGAGGCAGGGUUGGGGAUGCUGUGGCAGCAAACAAAAGAUGUCACCAUGCUGUGACAGAAGAGUCCUUUGACUACAGGUGUCACCUCAUCCAUUCAAUUACAGCCACACCUGACCCCUGGAGACACUCAUGGCCUCCAAGGUAGGCAAAGUGAGGCAUAGCUGCUGCUAACUUAGGAGAAAAUUUAGUAAAAGCCAGACGUGGUAGCACGUGCCUGUCUUCCCAGCACCC